rnacentral:lncRNA from 1 species
AUUUUCCAUCAGCAACAGGCAGGGACCUGAAAACUGCACUCUUCUUCUCAGGUAGCUGUAUUUUAUUGACCAGUUUUACUAAGAAAUUGUCCACAGGACUGAACUGUAGCUGCUCUGGUGACCUUUGUGAGUCACUACCGAGGAUGUCUUUGGCCCCAAGAGCAAAAGCCUUGCAGUUUCUUCAGAUUCAGUUGCCACGUUUUUAAACUGGGGGAAGGUGCUGGGCUGAGCUCCUGGGAAAACCCAGGCUGGGGGAAGUAGAGUGCCUUGGGAAAAUCUGGCUGGGAAAUGUGCUAUCUUUCCAAACUUGGCAUGGUGCCCCCCUGAAGAUCUUGCUCCAGGAUGUAUCUGAGGUCAGGGAGGCAAUUGUGACACAGGAAAGGCCAUUCUCCCCAGUGUCUCUGGGGAACAUGCGUGGUAUGGGGGGCUGGACCCCUGAAGUGAACUGCUCAUGUGAGAGCUUUGAAAGUGAUGGGAUCAUCUGCAUCCUCACUGUGGAAUGGCUGCAGCAGUCAGACAGCCUGUACUCACCACUUCACCAGCUGGAGCACCACACUGGGUGCAGAGGCCCCAAGGACAGCCCACCCUUUGCUCAGCUCGCUGCAUGGGAACAAGAGGGAUGGUGCCAAAUCCAGACCUUGUCGGAGCUUGAAGGCAAUGGAAAAGUCACUGGCUGGCAAGGCUGGCCCUCGCACCGGCCUCCGAUUGCAUCGCUCACCGAAGCACAGCCGCACCCUAGCCCAGGGCAGCAAGAUGCUGCCAGCCCUGGAAGCAUCCAGGGGCUUAUCUGCUGAUGGUGCUGCCCCCGGCUCGGCACAGCCGGCAGGGAGGAGCCCGGGAGUGCCCUGCACCUCUGUCCUUUGAAAUCUAUAGCGUUUUACUGGAAGAGGGAGUUGAAGGGUGAAUUAAAGCCUUUUCCUGCGAGAAGAGAUGCUGCCUGUGCCAGUGGCGAUGAGCACGCAGGGCUCGCCAUCCUCACCGAAAGGCACGGCGCUGGGCGAUGAGGAGUUAAAAGCUUGGCCAAGGUGGAGCAGGAGCAGAGCUGAUCCAGCUCCCCACCGCAGUUUC